AAACCGCUUUUGAUAGGGAAGAAGCACUGACGGUACCUAUCGAAUCAGCAUCGGCUAACUCCGUGCCAGCAGCCGCGGUAAUACGGAGGAUGCAAGCGUUAUCCGGAAUUAUUGGGCGUAAAGCGUCCGUAGGUGGUUGUUCAAGUCUGCUGUUAAAGCGUGCGGCUUAACCGCAUACCAGCAGUGGAAACUGGGCGACUAGAGUGCGGUAGGGGUCAGGGGAAUUCCCAGUGUAGCGGUGAAAUGCGUAGAUAUUGGGAAGAACACCGGUGGCGAAAGCGCCUGACUGGACCUGCACUGACACUGAGGGACGAAAGCUAGGGGAGCGAAAGGGAUUAGAUACCCCC
rnacentral:rRNA from 1 species